GAUACAACUUGAAGGUGUUUUCAACCAUACAAAUGCAUUGUUUGAAGACUUAGCAUUGUGUACAGCAAGUGGUCAGGACUGUCUUUCUGAUGUUUCACACCUUUUCCAGAUGCUAUCAUUGCUUGAUGAAUUGAUAGCAGUGGGAGAAGUUAGCAAUUUCACCAUGAUGCCCAUCAAGAGCAAUAUGACCUUCUCUAUUGCCCAGCAUAUACUUUACCUUCUCUCACCAUGGAACAUGUCAGAAUCUUCUCCAUAUUCAAUGGGCAAUGUGAGUAAUAUCAUUAGUCUACUUGAGCAUUUAUAUGGCUACCACAAUAUCAGCAUCCAGAACAUCCUAGAAGAGCUCCAAGCCUUAAAUCUCACUGUUUCUGAUUUAGAACAAUUCAGACAUAUUGUAGAAGCUCCUUACCUACCUUUGCUACUUUCAAAGCUUAUGGAGCUUGUAAAUGUCUCGCACUGCAUGAACCCAACAUCGCAUAUACCUUCCACAAUGCCAGAAUGUACCAUGCAGGUUAUUGAGGGGUUAACUGGUUUCCUUCAGGCCAUACCCAUGUUGGAAGACUUCCACGAGGAUGCUUCAUCCUUUCUAAAUAUGGUGUUGGAUCAUGUAAUGGAGUUAAGUAACAUUUCCAACCUACAGAGUGAUCUGCUUGUGUCUGGGGACUCAAACUCGACUCGUGUCAACUCUGUAAUUAUGUACAUUCUCCAUAUGUUAAGGCCAGCAUCAAUUCAGAUGUUUCUAACUGAGGGACACUUUGCAGUCCUGUGUAAGAUCUUGCAAGAGUUUGGAGAUCGUUUGGCUCCUGAGCAAAAGAUUGAACUGGAAGGUGUUUUCAACCAUACAAAUGCAUUGUUUGAAGACUUAGCAUUGUGUACAGCAAGUGGUCAGGACUGUCUCUCUGAUGUUUCACACCUUUUCCAGAUGCUAUCUUUGCUUGAUGAAUUAAUAGCAGUGGGAGAAGUUAGCAAUUUCACCAUGAUGCCCAUCAAGAGCAAUAUGACCUUCUCUGUUGCCCAGCAUAUACUUUACCUUCUCUCACCCUGGAACAUGUCAGAAUCUUCUGCAUAUUCAAUGGACAAUGUCAGUGAGAUUAUUAGUCUUCUUGAGCAGUUAUAUGGCUCCCACAAUAUCAGCAUCCACAACAUUCUAGAAGAGCUCCAAGCCUUAAAUCUCACAGUUUCUUAUCUAGAACAAUUCGAACACCUGUCAGAAAAUUUGUCCCUGCCUCUGCUACUUUCAAAACUUACAGAGCUUGUAAAUAUUUCACAAUGCCUGAACUCUCAGCUUCAAUCCCAAGGAUCUAAUAUAAGUUUCGAGGUGCGAGAAUGUACCAUGCAGGUUAUUGAGGGGUUAACUGGUUUCCUUCAGGCCAUACCCAUGUUGGAAGACUUCCAUGAGGAUGCUUCAUCCUUUCUAAAUAUGGUGUUGGAUCAUGUAAUGGAGUUAAGUAACAUUGCUACCCUACAGAGUGAUCUGCCUGUGUCUGGGGACUCAAACUCGACUCAUGUCAACUCUGUAAUUAUGUACAUCCUCCAUAUGUUAAGGCCAGCAUCAAUUCAGAUGUUUCUAACUGAGGGACCCUUUGCAGUCCUGUGUAAGAUCUUGCAAGAGUUUGGAAAACGUUUGGCUCCUGAGCAACAGAUUCAAAUGGAAGGUGUUUUCAACCAUACAAAUGCUCUGUUUAAAGACUUAGCUUUGUGCACAGCAAGUGGUCAGGACUGUCUUUCUGAUGUUUCACACCUUUUCCAGAUGCUAUCUUUGCUUGAUGAAUUGUUAACAGUGGAAGAAUUUGCCAAUUUCACCAUGAUGCCCAUCAAAAGCAAUAUGACCUUCUCUGUUGCCCAUCAUAUACUUUACCUUCUCUCACCCUGGAACAUAUCAGAAUCUUCUGCAUAUUCAAUGGACAAUGUCAGUGAGAUUAUUAGUCUUCUUGAGCAGUUAUAUGGCUCCCACAAUAUCAGCAUCCACAACAUUCUAGAAGAGCUCGAAGCCUUAAAUCUCACAGUUUUUGAUCUAGAACAAUUUGAACACCUAUCAGAAAAUUUGUCCCUGCCUCUGCUACUUUCAAAACUCACAGAGCUUGUAAAUAUUUCACAAUGCCUAAACUCUCAAAUUCAAUCCCCAGGAUCUAAUAUAAGUUUUAUGGUGCCAGAAUGUACCAUGCAGGUUAUUGAGGGAUUAACUGGUUUCCUUCAGGCUAUACCUAUGUUGGAAGGCGUCCACGAAGAUGCUACAUCCUUUCUAAAUAGCCUGUUUGAUGAUAUAAUGAAGUUAACUAACAUUUCUAGCCUAGAGACUGAUCUGCCUGUGUCUUGGGGCUUGAACUAUACUCAUGUCAACUCUGUAGUUAUGAACAUCCUUCAUCUGUUGAAGCCAGAGUCCAUUCAAAUGCUCCAAACCGAGGGACAAUUUGCAGUGUUGGAUGCCAUCUUGCGAGAACUUGGAGAACUCUUUGCUCAUGAUCAACAAAUCUAUUUAGAAAGCUCUCUUAAGCACACACGUGACCUGGUUGAAGAUUUGGCAUUGUGUGCAGCUAAGGGUCAAGACUGUUUGUCUGGAGUGUCACAGCUUUUACAGAUGUUCUCUUUGCUUGAUGAAAUGAUACCAGAAGGAGAACAUGGCAAUUUUACUAUAAGUCCCAUUGAGAGCAAUAUAACUUUCUCGAUUGCUGGUCAUAUUCUUUCCUUACUUUUACCAUGGAAUGUAUCAGAAUCUUCUAUAUAUACAAGGGACAAUAUCAGUGAGAUCAUCCAUUUCCUUGAGCAGUUAAAUGGCUCACCCAAUAUCAGCAUCAACAUCAUUCAAGAAAUGCUCCAAGCCCUGAAUCUCACCAUUUCUGAUUUAGAACAAGCCAUUGAAUUAUCAGAACGUCCGUCCAUCUCUACUGCACUUUCAAAACUUAUGGACAUUUCACAAUGUUUGAACCCUCUGCUUCAGGACCCUACAUUACAUACAGGUUCCACAGUGCCAGGAUGUACCAUGCAGAUUAUUGAGGGGUUAUUUGGUUUCCUUCAGUUAACGCCAAUGUUUGAAGGCUUCCAGACCAAUCUUACAUCCACUUUAAAUAUGAUAUAUGAUGAAGCAACGGGGUUACAUAAUAUUUCUAGCCUACAGUCUGAUCCACUUGAAGUAACCGAAGAAAUCUUUGAAGUGAUUCUGGAAAGUAUCCGACUGAACCUUGGAAAUCUCAAUGCGGAAAAUGUGACUUUGAUCGAAAAGGAGCUUGAUACUCUGGAGACACUUUUAAAGAUGGUAUUUGAAGAAGAAUACCGCUACCCUUACUACAUGAUCAAUUCCACACUGAUGACACAGCAUUCCUAUGCUCAGAAGAUGUAUACACAAAUCACCUUGUGGUACCUACGUAACUUGGAGAAUGCCACAAGUGAUGGCAUGUUCAGACAGACCUUUUACCCACUUAUCCAUAUGGUGGAGAUGAUGGCCACAAUCAAUGAAGCUCAAGCUAAUUUCUCCACACUGGUGUCCAAUCAGAUAUAUACAUUAACUAACCAGGUUCAUUCUCCUCUAAACAGUGAAGAUCUGAAUCAAAUCAGUAAUGCAAUCACAUUUCUAAUGCAGGGCCAACUACAGUUGAUAAAGAUGAACCUUGACCUUCAAAUGACCUUUUAUAAUUCAUCAGGUUUGAUCUCUAACAAAACUUUGCCCACUGAUAUCGAAGCCGAGAUCCAAAACUACUUCAAUGUGGUGCAAAAUUGGAUCACAAACCCACAGCUAACUGUUGCAUUUAGCAAACUAUUUCAAUGGAACAGUAAUGUGACCGAUUUCACCGUUGCAGCUACGGACCUUGAAGAGCUUAUGGAGACCUUGGCUCCACUGCUUUCACCAGAGGAACAGGUCUAUAUCAACAAAUCCGAGCAAAUCUUACAGUCUCUGAACUUCGCCUUGCAGCUCGGCCAGACAGACGAUGGUCUCCAGAGUGAAAACUUCACGGAAGCUAUUAUGGAUUCGGUAAAAGUGAUCUUGCAGGAUAUGUUCAAUUACACUGACUCGACAUACACAAAUGAGAGUGUUGUUGAAGUUUUCUACAACUCACUUCAACUCCUGCUGAGCCCGAAUAUCAGCCAUGCUCAAGCUCAACAGUUCCUGAAAGAAGUUGCGGAUGAGAUGGAAAGCAUUAUUAGUGCCACUGCUCCAGAUUUGGCAGAAAUGUUCGCUCCUGGCAUCCAGAGCCUCAUAUCAUAUGUAAACACUAUGCUGAACCCAGGCGGACCUUACCAGUGGGAUGAAAUUGUUGUGGCUACGAUGGAAGAAAUCCUGAAUUCUCUGCCUUCGAAUAGCACCGCGAACACCUACAUAUCCUCCAUACUGAACAUCACAAAGUACAUUCUGAGCCCCAAACCAGGAAACACGAGUCUGUGGGGCAUCCUAGCAGACCUGCGUGUGGACAACCUGGAUACUGUUACAGAACAGCUUUCUGGCAUUCUGGAUAUUAUUCUUCCUUUACUCAAAGACAACGAGGGAAUGGGUUUGUCCCCUGAAUACGUUCACACUUUUGCUGAAUAUGUCCCAACCCUUGUCCAGAUGUUCUCAGGGACACCUGACCAACUCAUGUUUCAGAGGAUGGAAAACCUGAUGGCUGCAUUUCUGUCAAACCUGAUGGCCACGCCCGCACAGGACACUCUGCUUUCUGCUCUAGAAGUCCUCAGGAAUGUCACGGCAUCCCUGGCGCAAAGCGUGCAACUUCAAACCGAGCUCUUCUACAGCCUCUCAGAAGUUUUGUCAGAUGUUCUCACCGUUGUGGACUCCGGCAAUGUUUCUCUCGUCUCAGACACACUGCUGCAGGCUUUCCAGUCCACUGUGGAAGCCACCCUACAGGUUCCUAUGAGCAGUGAAAUGCUAAACUGCAGUGCAGUGGGGGAUCUUUGGGAGGAGGUCACUGACACAGUGGGGAUGAACAGCAGUGUCUUUACAGUCUGGUGUACCGAUCAUCUCCUUCCCCUCCUUAACAUUUAUUACACCUCCACUUAUCAACCAGCAGCCCACAAUGUCACAGUUAUGGAUCCUCAGUGGGUGAAUGCUACAGUUGCGGAGAUUGUCGGAUCUCUGGAGGCGCUUUACUCAGCCUCUCUUAAUGAAUCUCUAACUGUCCAACAUCUAACACAAGGCCUGGUGGAGAACCUUAACCUUUCUCUCUCGACACUGGGGAAUCAAUCGGAUUGGAGCGGUCUCCUGUCCCAGCUGCAGAGUCUUUCCGUUGUUCAAAUGGCUUUGGAGAGUGCGACACUGCAACUGAAUAACAAAGGCUGGGAUCCAUAUGUCCUAGUGGUGCACAAAGUCAUCAAUUACACCCUGGGGAGUCAGAAUGUAACAGCGAUCCCUGAGAUGGUCAUUCAAGCCCUGGAUGUGGUGCUCACGGCUAUGAAUUUCAGUAAUGAGCAAAUAGAUGGGUUUCUGAGUAGUGACAUAUUCGUCAUGCCUAAUAACUUGUCCAACGACCUGCUCAUGAAGGAGGUGAUAAGUAAAAUCAUCGAUAUGAGACUGUUUGGAAACUGGUCCAUAAUGUAUGACCUGAUAGGGCAACUGCUAUAUGUAGAGAACACAAGUGACAUCUUGAGUGCGGUGAGCGAACUGGUCAACUGGUAUAACUCUACUGAGGACACUGGAGUGUAUUUCGGCAUAGAGAUGCUCACGAAGUUGUAUGAUAUGCUAACAACGUUUGUGCCAGCUUCAUACCCUCUAUCGUGCCCCUUUGACCUCUUUGUCGGGCUUGCCAGCAAUGCUUUGCAUGCACUGCAGCAUAUCACUAGCACGACCAACCUCUUCACACCCAUCAACAGCUACCUCAAGCCAAUCCAAAUGCAACUUGCUCUGGGGGACAAUCUAAGGGAUCUCGUGAGAGCAACCCAAACCAGCAGGAGACCAAUGCAAAAUCUGACCAGAGAACCAGUGGAUGACUUUCUCGACCUCCUGGAGAUCAACUACCGCAACUUAUCUCAGAUCCUUUCCAUCCCGCUUAGCACGGAAGAAAUUUUGGAGACCAUGCAUGUUGUCUUUGCAAACCCAGAUCUGGGUAUCUUCCUCAAGGGUGUAUCCAGGAACAGUUACGGAAGUCCGGUCGAAGACCAAACUAUCGAUACAAUCCUCGGUACACUGGCCUACUUGACUGAUCCAAGCAAUGGCCAAACAUUUGUUGAGAUGUUGACUAUCAGUCAAGCCUGGAGUCCUAGUGAUAUACAGCUGGCGGAAAGCUUGGGUGGAUUUGUAGGAGUUGUAAAGAUGCUCUCCCAGGAGUCAUCUUUGAGUAUAGCUCAGAGGGUUGAGCAGAUGGCUAAACAAUUCACCUCUGCAGCAUCUUAUACCAUGGCACACCAAGGUAAUGGCAGUGAAAUCCUCACAGCCAUCAACAAGAUUAUGUCACACAAUUUGCAGCAGACACCGAUGAACCAAUCCAUCCUUCAAAACAUAAUCAGCUCUGUAGCCUUAAUGUCUGAUGCACAGAUUGACUUUGGAUCAUACAUGAUGGUGAUCAACCAAACUUCUGAUCUCAUUGCAUCCUAUGUACCUUUUGAGGAAAUGGUAUAUUUCAACAUUUCAGCAAGGAUCAUGAAAGCUCUCGCCUUGCUCGAGUCGAAUCCAACAGAUCUAGAGCAAGUGGUGAUGUCCAGUCACGAGCUCGCUGAUUCACUGGAUCUCACCUUUGCACUUUCUGGAAUGGCCACACUUUCAAACGGUUUAUCCAUUGAGGAGAUCGCAUACCCUUUUGUUCUAAACAGUGCCUUGUCGGCGGAAAUCUUGUUCAAUCUUUCCACUUUGAAUUAUACCUUCGCUAAUGAUUUGGACCGAAGAACAAUCUUGACACACAUGACAUCAAGUCUCCCGGCGCAAGUUCAAAACGACCUCCAUCCACUCACUUCGGCUCUCAUUUUUGCUCUUUCGGAUGUUUCUGAUACAACCCAAAUCCAACCUGCUUUCGAUCGAAUCUACCAAAACGUGACCAUGUUUAUUCUAAAACACCUUAACCUCACUGAAGAUUCCGUGUCAAUGGGAAUAUAUUCUGUCCUGUCGACUGUCUCAAAUGUGGUCCUCGCUAGCCUCAGUGAGGGUCUAAUGGGUAAUUCUUCCAUCCAGCUUCCAAAUGUGCUCAACUCUCUACGAGCAAUCAUAUCUACACUGUCUUUUGAACUACCUGCGAAUGAACAAAAAAACCUGAAUGGCGUUUUUAACUUUAUGGAGACAAUGGCCUUGACGCUGAACCACACAAUAACCACAAAGGACAUUGCGGGUGGAGUGGAUAUGAUUUCCCUCUCUGUCCAACACCUUCUGGGGAUGAUUCCGAACAACAACAUGGAGACCUCCAGUGGCAUUACGAGUGACCUGGAAAAUAUUGUCAAGAAGCUGCUACAGGUUCUGUCGUCAGGUCAAGACCCUCGAACUCAGAGUGCGAACGUGACCGACGAGAUCCUGAACACCAUUCAGAACUUGCUCACCGUGGCCAACAGCAGCUCAGAGAUAGAUCUGGCUACCGCAAUCCUGGGGGCCUUUGAGAUGAACCUUGGGUCUCUCAUGGAGACCAACGACACCAACUGGGCUCAGACAUUGCAAACGGCGUUUUUAUCCAUCUCCAACCUCCUUCUGCUGACCUUCAGUUCGGUCCAUUCAACAGAACGAUCUUCGAAAGUUUGGCCAACGAGCCUCCAGAAAAUCUGAAUAUCCUGCUCCAGACAAUAAGCACAUUGUCUGAACUUUUCUCAACCAGCUGGACGAACGACAGCUUCGGAGCUCUACUGAAUGAAAUACAGAUAAAGGUAUGCCUUAUGGAGAACCUCGAGUCUGUUCAGCUGUUUAGC